UUUCGCAAUGCCCGAAAGGGUGACGAAGCGACGCCGCGUGUGGGAAGAAGGCCCUCGGGUUGUAAACCACUGUCAGGAGUUAAGAAAUAUAGAGAUGUUAAUAGCGUCUCUAUUUGACGAAGGCUCCAGAGGAAGCCACGGCUAACUCUGUGCCAGCAGCCGCGGUAAUACAGAGGUGGCAAGCGUUGUUCGGAAUUAUUGGGCGUAAAGAGCACGUAGGCGGCCUUGCAAGUCAGUUGUGAAAGCCUUUCGCUCAACGGAAGAAUGGCAGCUGAUACUACAGGGCUAGAGUGCGGGAGGGGAGAGUGGAACUUCUGGUGGAGCGGUGAAAUGCGUAGAUAUCAGAAGGAACGCCGGCGGCGAAAGCGACUCUCUGGACCGCAACUGACGCUGAGUGUGCGAAAGCUAGGGGAGCAAACGGGAUUAGAUACCCCGGUAGUCCUAGCCGUAAACGAUGGGCACUAAGUAGAGGGGUUUUA
rnacentral:rRNA from 1 species